CCCCCCCAAUGAUAGCAAACAUGUACCGUAAAGCCACGCCUCCCCCCUCCCCCAGCUACCACAUUUACAUGCCAUUCCUGUGCAUGUUAACCUGGUUCACACUAUCGGAAAAAAACAAGCUAAGCCCUUCCUUAGCUGAACUAGGCUGGUCUAGGGUGGUCUGGUUAAAUAUCUAGCAGCUGAACUAGGCUGGUCUAGGGUGGUCUGGUUAAACAUCUACCAGCUGAACUAGGCUGGUCUAGGGUGGUCUGGUUAAACAUCUACCAGCUGAACUAGGUUGGUGUAGGGUGGUCUGGUUAAACAUCUACCAGCUGAACUAGGUUGGUGUAGGGUGGUCUGGUUAAACAUCUACCAGCUGGACUAGGCUGGUCUAGGGUGGUCUGGUUAAACAUCUACCAGCUGAACUAGGUUGGUGUAGGGUGGUCUGGUUAAACAUCUACCAGCUGAACUAGGUUGGUGUAGGGUGGUCUGGUUAAACAUCUACCAGCUGGACUAGGCUGGUCUAGGGUGGUCUGGUUAAACAUCUACCAGCUGAACUAGGUUGGUGUAGGGUGGUCUGGUUAAACAUCUACCAGCUGGACUAGGUUGGUGUAGGGUGGUCUGGUUAAACAUCUACCAGCUGAACUAGGUUGGUGUAGGGUGGUCUGGUUGAACAUCUACCAGACCCAUGUUCUACCAGAUUAGUCCUCCUAUAGUACCAUGUUCUACCAGAUUAGUCCUCCUAUAGUACCGUGUUCUACCAGAUUAGUCCUCCUAUAGAACCAUGUUCUACCAGGUUAGUCCUCCUAUAGUACCAUGUUCUACCAGAUUAGUCCUCCUAUUGUACCAUGUUCUACCCAGAUUAGUCCUCUUAUAGAACCAGACCCCAUGUUCUACCAGAUUAGUCCUCCUAUAGUACCAUGUUCUACCAGAUUAUUCCUCCUAUUGUACAGUGUUCUACCAGAUUAGUCCUCCUUUAGUUCCAGACCCCAUGUUCUACCAGGUUAGUCCUCCUAUUGUACCAUGUUCUACCAGAUUAGUCCUCCUAUAGUACCAUGUUCUACCAGAUUAGUCUUCCUAUAGUACCAUGUUCUACCAGAUUAGUCCUCCUAUAGUACCAUGUCCUACCAGAUUAGUCCUCCUAUAGUACCAUGUUCUACCAGAUUAGUCCUCCUACAGUACCAUGUUAUACCAGAUUAGUCCUCCUAUAGUACCAGACCCCAUGUUCUACCAGAUUAGUCCUCCUAUAGUACCAUGUUCUACCAGAUUAGUCCUCCUAUCGUACCAUGUUCUACCCAGAUUAGUCCUCCUAUUGUACCAUGUUCUACCCAGAUUAGUCCUCUUAUAGAACCAGACCCCAUGGUCUACCAGAUUAGUCCUCCUAUAGUACCAUGUUCUACCAGAUUAGUCCUCCUAUUGUACCAUGUUCUACCAGAUUAGUCCUCCUAUAGUACCAUGUUCUACCCAGAUUAGUCCUCCUAUAGAACCAUGUUCUACCAGAUUAGUCCUCCUAUAGUACCAUGUUCUACCAGAUUAGUCCUCCUAUAGUACCAGACCCCAUGUUCUACCAGAUUAGUCCUCCUUUAGAACCAUGUUCUACCAGAUUAGUCUUCCUAUAGUACAAUGUUCUACCAGAUUAGUCCUCCUAUAGUACCAUGUUCUACCAGAUUAGUCCUCCUAUAGUACCAGACCCCAUGUUCUACCAGAUUAGUCCUCCUAUAGUACCAUGUUCUACCAGAUUAGUCCUCCUAUAGAACCAUGUUCUACCAGAUUAGUCCUCCUAGGUAUUGGAUGAAAUAAAAACCAUAUCUAGUAUGUAUGGGGCUGUGUGGAAACAGUGGAUUAUCUAGUAUGUAUGGUGCUGUGUGGAAACAGUGGAUUACCUAGUAUGUAUGGUGCUGUGUGGAAAAACGGGAUUAUCUAGUAUGUAUGGUGCUGUGUGGAAACAGGGGAUUAUCUAGUAUGUAUGGUGCUGUGUGGAAACAGGGGAUUAUCUAGUGUGUAUGGUGCUGUGUGGAAACUGUAGGUUAUCUAGUAUGUAUGGUGCUGUGUGGAAACAGUGGAUUACCUAGUAUGUAUGGUGCUGUGUGGAAACAGGGAUUAUCUAGUAUGUAUGGUGCUGUGUGGAAACAGGGGAUUAUCUAGUAUGUAUGGUGCUGUGUGGAAACAGUGGAUUAUCUAGUAUGUAUGGUGCUGUGUGGAAACAGGGAUUAUCUAGUAUGUAUGGUGCUGUGUGGAAACAGUGGAUUAUCUAGUAUGUAUGGUGCUGUGUGGAAACUGUGGGUUAUCUAGUAUGUAUGGUGCUGUGUGGAAACAGUGGAUUAUCUAGUAUGUAUGGUGCUGUGUGGAAACAGUGGAUUAUCUAGUGUGUAUGGUGCUGUGUGGAAACAGUGGAUUAUCUAGUAUGUAUGGUGCUGUGUGGAAACAGUGGAUUAUCUAGUAUGUAUGGUGCUGUGUGGAAACAGUGGAUUAUCUAGUAUGUAUGGUGCUGUGUGGAAACAGUGGAUUAUCUAGUGUGUAUGGUGCUGUGUGGAAACAGUGGAUUAUCUAGUGUGUAUGGUGCUGUGUGGAAACUGUGAGUCGUAGGAGCCUUUCAGUUGAAGAAAGAAUCCAUAAUGCCAGAUCUAGAUUUACCUCAAUUGUCCUGCCAGAUUAUGAAUUUAUUUAAAUGUUUAUCUUUAAAAAAAAAAAUAUUAACAUCAGGACAUCAGGGUACUCAGGCAGACGGGAUAGUUCUUCCUCAUUUGAUAAUGUUUUUAGAGUACAGUUGGCCAAAGCUCGAGACAGAUCUGUUCUUUUUAACUUGUAAACCAAUCAAGGGACCAAAGGUAGUGUUUUUUUUUUUUUAGAGCCUAUGUUUUGAUAAGCGUUUUGGCUACGUGCACAAAAGGUGGUGUGACGAUGACUAUGUCACAGUCCCAAAUGGCACCCUAUUCCCUACAAAGUGCACUACUUUUAGUGCACUAUAUAGGGGAUAGGGUGCCACCUGGGAUACAGAUCCUAUGCUAGAAGACACUCCCAAUAUACUGUAUAGUCCAAUAUGUGGAAAAAGCACCGUUUCUGAGGGUAGAAUUCACAUCUUUGGAUAACUUUUCAAAACAAACGAUGUGGUACCAUAUGUCAGCGUAUAUACUGUGUUGAUCAUGACAUCAUGAUGAUUGACAUGCGAUAUGGGGGGGGGGACCAAUGAGAAAAGGUUUAGUUGGAAGCUUUUGGGAUUUGUUAACCAUUUAUACCACAACAUGUUUUCCUGCGAUGGGGAUGAGUUGAUGUGUCUGUUUCGUUUAUGAAGUCGGAAAUAUGUAUAAAUAUAAUUUAUAUAUAUAUAUAUAUAUAUAUAUAUAUA
ensembl:lncRNA